UACGUAGGGGGCUAGCGUUGUCCGGAUUUAUUGGGCGUAAAGAGCGUGUAGGCGGCCAUGUAGGUCCGGUGUGAAAACUCGAGGCUUAACCUCGAGAUGUCAUCGGAAACCAUUUGGCUAGAGUCCGGAAGAGGAGAGUGGAAUUCCUGGUGUAGCGGUGAAAUGCGCAGAUAUCAGGAGGAACACCGGUGGCGAAGGCGGGUCUCUGGGCCGAUACUGACGCUGAGGAGCGAAAGCGUGGGGAGCAAACAGG
rnacentral:rRNA from 1 species